GCACCCGUAGCCUAGUCUGGAUAAGGCGCUGACCUCCUAAGUCAGAAGUCGGGGGUUCAAAUCCCUCCGGGUGCA
rnacentral:tRNA from 3 species